AUGGCUCUCCGGACCAGAGUGGCCCCGAGCAAGCUUGUUUUGCAGAAUCUUCUUAUAUGUGUCAUCCUCUUCUGCACCGUGUACUAUGCAGUUCUGGGCAUGUGCUGCCUGAUGCUCAAUUCUUCUAGUCUCAACACAGGUCACCUACUUUGCGGAUUGCUUUUCGCUCUGGUUGUAGAAGAAUGGGUCUGGGAUUAUGCUAUUUCAGUAACUAUUCUUCAUGUUGUCAUCACUUCCACUGGAUCCGGCUUAAUUUGA
rnacentral:lncRNA from 1 species